GGGGAAGGAUCCGCCGGUGAAGCGGAAGGUUAAACAGGUCUUGCCCACAUUUGAGUCCCCGAUCACAAUGAUUUUAAAAAUGCGAGUCUGGACGCUGUGAUCUAGCGACGUGCUCAGAUCGAGGGACGACGUGAGAUUGGCAUGACGGGUCAGUAAGCGAAACUCCAGCUGUAAAGGCAGCGCGCAUCUCAUAAAGAGAACAAUCCACACUUACCCACAGCAGACAGUACAGGAUGACAACGUGUUUUUGCAUUCAAACACAGCUUGAUGGAGUGCAAAUCUAAAUGCAGGUAUUUCAAGACGUGUUACAAACUACUUUAACUUGACACAGUGACCUAAAAACGCUGUGUUUAUGAUGUGAUGCAACCAAAGGGAGAUGCUCCAAAAGAGUCUGUCUGAUGCAGGCAUUGUUGGCCUUGAGCAGAUGAAAAAUAUAAGGUGACUCACCUCAAUCUGGGUGGCAAAGGACGAAUUUCAGUUGCUUCCACGUCUGAGACCAUCAAUCCGCACAUCUUAUCACAUGGCUUGUUGAGCGUGUUACUGUGGAGGCAUAGCAUGUGUGGAGGCUUCAUGCUAUUCUCUGUGGCUUCCACACACAACUCACCACACACCCCACCGAGAGCGAGAACCACAUUAUAAUGACCAUGAGGAGGUUACCCCAUGUGACUCUACCCUCCCUAGCAACUGGGCCAAUUUGGUUGCUUGGGAGACCUGGCUGGAGUCACUCAGCAUUCCCUGGAUUUGAACUCGCGACUCCAGGGGUGGUAGUCAGCGUCUUUACUCACUGAGCUACCCAGACCCCCUGAUUUAAAUAAACAAUGGAUGAGUUUAAUUUAUUAAUUUUUUGUAAUCAACAUUAUGUCAUAAAUGCUGUUAAUUGAACUUAACUUGUAUUGAACCUGGAACAUUCCUUUAAUCAACCUAGAGGACAUUUUUAUUGUUCAGAGGAUGUUCUUUAAUAGCUCAUGGAGUUCUCAGUUAUGCUCAUUUUGGUAUCAAUUUAGUCUCAGAUGUUUCUAAUACUAUUCCUUAGUAGAAAUGAAAAUAAAAAUGAGACAAUUGUUCAUAUAUUGUAAGUAUAGCAAAAAAAAAAAAAAAAAAGAUAGCAUAGCUCUGACAGUUUGUUCUCAGAAGAAAUUGAUGCGAAAUGUUUGAGUUCAUGUUGAAAUCUCUGACUCUUGUUUUCAGACUCCGGUAUCAUGGAAAAUCACAAUUUGUAAUAUUGUUUAAAUGUCUUUUGGAACUAGGGAGGACAUACAGUAUGUGAGAUUGCUGUGGCCUUUUUCUCAGGAGAAAAUUCUGAAAAGGAGUCUUAAGUCUCCUUUGCUUUCCAUUGAAUCUCAUUGCGUAGGAUAACAAUUGAGAUAUUAAAGAGAUCUCAUUUGUGUUUUUUCUUUUCUAUGGGAAUGAACAAAUGCAUAAUAAAUACAUUUAAUAUAGCGUACUUUGUAGUUCUGUUGCUAGAUUCAACUCUGGGGUGUAUUACAUUUAAAAUAGUAAUGUAGAGCCCACUUUAUAGUGUUGUGCAGUUGUUAUGUGGCAUUUUUAGAAUAGUAUAUUCUUUAUUAAUGACUUGGA